rnacentral:rRNA from 1 species
GAUGAACGCUGGCGGCGUGCCUAAUACAUGCCAGUCGAGCGAACGGACGAGAAGCUUGCUUCUCUGAUGUUAGCGGCGGACGGGUGAGUAACACGUGGAUAACCUACCUAUAAGACUGGGAUAACUUCGGGAAACCGGAGCUAAUACCGGAUAAUAUUUUGAACCGCAUGGUUCAAAAGUGAAAGACGGUCUUGCUGUCACUUAUAGAUGGAUCCGCGCUGCAUUAGCUAGUUGGUAGGGUAACGGCUUACCAAGGCAACGAUGCAUAGCCGACCUGAGAGGGUGAUCGGCCACACUGGAACUGAGACACGGUCCAGACUCCUACGGGAGGCAGCAGUAGGGAAUCUUCCGCAAUGGGCGAAAGCCUGACGGAGCAACGCCGCGUGAGUGAUGAAGGUCUUCGGAUCGUAAAACUCUGUUAUUAGGGAAGAACAUAUGUGUAAGUAACUGUGCACAUCUUGACGGUACCUAAUCAGAAAGCCACGGCUAACUACGUG